GACGAACGCUGGCGGCGUGCUUAACACAUGCAAGUCGAACGGAAAGGCCCUGCUUUUGUGGGGUGCUCGAGUGGCGAACGGGUGAGUAACACGUGAGUAACCUGCCCUUGACUUUGGGAUAACUUCAGGAAACUGGGGCUAAUACCGGAUAGGAGCUCCUGCUGCAUGGUGGGGGUUGGAAAGUUUCGGCGGUUGGGGAUGGACUCGCGGCUUAUCAGCUUGUUGGUGGGGUAGUGGCUUACCAAGGCUUUGACGGGUAGCCGGCCUGAGAGGGUGACCGGCCACAUCGGGACUGAGAUACGGCCCAGACUCCUACGGAAGGCAGCAGUGGGGAAUAUUGCACAAUGGGCGGAAGCCUGAUGCAGCAACGCCGCGUGCGGGAUGACGGCCUUCGGGUUGUAAACCGCUUUCGCCUGUGACGAAGCGUGAGUGACGGUAAUGGGUAAAGAAGCACCGGCUAACUACGUG
rnacentral:rRNA from 1 species